GACGUAGGGCGCGAGCGUUGUCCGGAUUUAUUGGGCGUAAAGAGCUCGUAGGCGGUUUGUCGCGUCGUUCGUGAAAACUUGGGGCUUAACUCCAAGCGUGCGGGCGAUACGGGCAGACUUGAGUACUACAGGGGAGACUGGAAUUCCUGGUGUAGCGGUGAAAUGCGCAGAUAUCAGGAGGAACACCGGUGGCGAAGGCGGGUCUCUGGGUAGUAACUGACGCUGAGGAACGAAAGCGUGGGUAGCGAACAGG
rnacentral:rRNA from 1 species